rnacentral:rRNA from 1 species
UACGUAGGGUGCAAGCGUUGUCCGGAAUUAUUGGGCGUAAAGCGCACGCAGGCGGCUAGGCGCGUGUGGGGUGAAAGCCGCGAGCUUAACUCGCGGUCGCCCCCGCAUACGGCUCGGCUCGAGCCCGGGAGAGGUCCCUCGAAUUGCCGGUGUAGUGGUGAAAUGCGUAGAGAUCGGCAGGAAGACCAAGGGGGAAGCCAGGGGACUGGCCCGCGGCUGACGCUCAGGUGCGAGAGCGUGGGGAGCGAACCGG